AGCAGUCGCCACGGGAAUACGUAGGUGGCAAGCGUUGUCCGGAAUUAUUGGGCGUAAAGGGCUCGCAGGCGGUUUCUUAAGUCUGAUGUGAAAGCCCCCGGCUCAACCGGGGAGGGUCAUUGGAAACUGGGAAACUUGAGUGCAGAAGAGGAGAGUGGAAUUCCACGUGUAGCGGUGAAAUGCGUAGAGAUGUGGAGGAACACCAGUGGCGAAGGCGACUCUCUGGUCUGUAACUGACGCUGAGGAGCGAAAGCGUGGGGAGCGAACAGGAUUAGAUACCCGGGUAGUCCCUGUCUCUUAUAC
rnacentral:rRNA from 1 species